rnacentral:lncRNA from 1 species
GGCUGGAAUUUUUGGCCAGUAGCUCAUUAAUGCAUGUUCAUGCACAAUAAAUAGCAUUAAGCCAGAGGCUGUUGAAAUACUAUAUUUGAUCUGAAAGGAGAGACACUACCGCUAGGAGCUUAUGCUAAAGGAAGAUGAACCCUUUAGAGUGGAAGGCAGAAUCCCAGCUAAAACCAUGCUUCCCUACCAAACGCCAAGAAAAAACUCUUGGCAUAGACUUGAAGCUCCUUGCCUAGAGGACGUUUCUUCUGGGAACUCUAUCUCUACUUUCCACAGGUCCAACCUUUGUCUCGACUAUAAUCACAUGGUAUUUUCUGAGCCAAAAGUGUCCAACUGACCCAGAAUUCCUGAGCCACAACACAGGUAAGAAGUCAAAAAAAUUGCUUUAAACAACAGAUUUUGUCCAUUUCUCCAACUGUGUACUCCAUAUUCAGAGUAAAUUCUUUUUCUGUCCAAUUUAAUUGAAGUUUUUUCCAUUCUCUGACUUGGUUUAAGAACAAGCACUGUUGAGACAUGACUUAAUUAUGCCCAUAAAUAUGGGGCAGUAUUUUCUGGGAAGUUCUGGAAAAGGAAUUAAACGUGUACUAAAAAAUUCAUUUUCUUCCACUAGAUAUCUUCUUCAGAAAUGGUGCUAAUCUGUAAAAAGCACAUUGGGAGUGACAGAAUAAAAAGAAAGAACCUGAGUCUUUCA